ACACCCAGGAGAAUUCAUAUAAUAGAUGUGAAGACACGAUGUCAGUGCCUCUCCCUGGCAGUUGCUCCAGUGCAUCCAGAAAAACUUGUCUUCCUGACCUUUUCUGCUCUCAAGCCUCAGGGGGAAAAAUGUAAAAGCAGAAUUUAUGUCUCAGUGCCAAGAUGGUUCCUGCUGUGUGAAAUAAGUACAUCAUCUCAAGAUGCCAAUUCAGCAUCCUGCGAAACCACUGGGAUUGGGUGGAACAGAGAAUAUCUAUUAUAAGGGAAGAAAUCUUUGCACCUCUGCCAAAGAGCAACAAGAAUACAGUUUGGACCAUCAGAUAUUGUUUUUACUGGAUUCAGUGUGGCAGAAAUGAAAACAGAAGAUUAAUUUUCUGGUCCACAGUCACCAGCAUCCUUUUGCUUUUCAUUUCUCUUUUUUCUCUCUGCAUUCCAAGCAUGGUUAGUAGAAAGAUAUUGCAUCUAAUAUUCUACAGCAGAAUCCACGUUCUUUGCAAAGCAAUGAAUACAGAGCCUUCUUGUGGCCAGGGCCAAUUUCCUGAUCAACACAGGGCAACCAAUUCUGCCCUGUCUGCUAAUGCAAUAGAAUCACAGAGUUGCAAAAGACCAACAUCUCUACCCUAAAGAUAGGAUUAUUCAUAUACCCAUCAGCUCCUCCACAGAUCAUUCAAUGCAGGCUAGAUUAUAUGUACCACAAGCAAGCAGCCAGUGUGAUAUAAAAGGUGCCUGAAAUGUUGAUGUCUUCAAAUGAACAAGAAACAGCACAAACCAGCAUGACUGGAUUCAGAAAA